UACAGAGGGGGCAAGCGUUGUCCGGAAUCAUUGGGCGUAAAGCGCGCGUAGGUGGCCUCAUAAGUCCGUUGUGAAAGUCAAAGGCUCAACCUUUGAAAGCCGAUGGAUACUGUGAGACUAGAGUACGGAAGAGGCGAGUGGAAUUCCUGGUGUAGCGGUGGAAUGCGCAGAUAUCAGGAGGAACACCAAUAGCGAAGGCAGCUCGCUGGGACGUUACUGACACUGAGGCGCGAAAGCGUGGGGAGCGAACAGG
rnacentral:rRNA from 1 species